GCUCUAUUAAUCACGGAUUAUUAUUCAUGCGCCUACCACGACGGUGGCGCUUUUAGCGUCACUGACUUUUGUCGCCUCAUUGCCUUUGAGCUCGUCUCAUGUUAACUUUUUACUUUUCUUUCUCUCUUUCUCUCUUCCUUCCUCAAUCUUUUCCCCUACUCCUCGACUUUAGUCUCUCUUUCGUUUCCUCUAUCAUCUCGUUAUUCAGCCUUUAUAAUGAUUCUUUUUGGCUACUUUCGGUCCCGCUUCGUUAAAUAGCACGUGGUGUUAAAGUAACAAAUCGAAUUACCGGAUCGCAUUGUGAUAAAUAAAAUGAACAAAUCCGACUUUGUAUCAGUCGAUUGGAAAUACGGAAAUUGUAACUACAUGUUUUCCUCUAAUCUGGAUGGAUACUUGAAUCCGACACUUUGACGGAUCUGUAUUUAAUUUCAAACAGAUUAUGAAAAGGUACGAAAGAAGAAGAAGAAGAAGAAGAAGAAGUCGUCGUUGGCGCUAUCCUCGAGUCAUAAAAAAGUCAUAUCGUCUACUUAGGAUGACUUAGAUAAUUUUGAGGGAAACCCUAAUAUCAGGUAUACCUUACCUCUAAGCUUUUGGCAAGAAGAAGAAGAAAAAGAAGAAGAAGAAGAAGAA
rnacentral:lncRNA from 1 species